UACGUGGGGGGCAAGCGUUGUCCGGAUUUAUUGGGCGUAAAGAGCGUGUAGGCGGCCAUGUAGGUCCGUUGUGAAAACUCGAGGCUCAACCUCGAGACGCCGAUGGAAACCAUGUGGCUAGAGUCCGGAAGAGGAGAGUGGAAUUCCUGGUGUAGCGGUGAAAUGCGCAGAUAUCAGGAAGAACACCCGUGGCUAAGGCGGCUCUCUAGUACGGUACUGACGCUGAGACGCGAAAGCGUGGGGAGCGAACAGG
rnacentral:rRNA from 1 species